CUGAGGAAGUCGAGGGGCCAGUUUCCGGCUGCGCCAUUGCUGUGUGGGGCCCGGGACCCGGACUUCGAGCACGCGGGGAGGGCGGGGCGGCGCCCGGGUUUCCGGGGAGCGGCAGGUGAGGCCGCGCGGGGCGAACGGCGGUGCCCGGCUGGUCGCUGGCUCGGAGCCCGAGCGUCGCGCCUCCUGUCUGGGUGGCGUCCUGCCUGAGGCUCGGGUGGGCUCCGCCCUCCGGGAGCCGGUCCGGAAGCACGGAGGGCCCCCUACCUUUGCCCCCGAAGUCAGCCGGGGAACAGCCGCUCCCCUGCAGGAGCCCGGCCGUGGGUGGAGGGCCCCGGUGGGUAAGGUCCGUGACCCCGGGAAACUCCAGCCAGAGAGCGGCGGCAAGAAAGGAAUUGGUUCCCACAAACCGCCCAGAGUCAAGGUGAUUCUGAUGAACGGACGAGCAUGGGGACCACUGAUCUCGACAACUCUGUUACCUCAUGACUUCAAGAAAAGCCAACUGCAGCUUCUCCUAGACUACCUGCUCUGCCCUCGGUGGGAGGUUCUCUGCUCUGCAGCUUCUCCAUCAACUUUGUCAGCUUUGAGCUUAAGCAAGGCUACUGCAUGAGAGUGAAAUCACAACCAUUGUCAUGAAAUGAGGACCAGAAGAAGCCUUGAGACAUAAUGUAGCGUCUCCUUCCCCACUGAGGUGAUGUUCCAUUUAAUAUUCCCACCAACAAUGUAUGAGAGUUCCAGUUGCUCCACAUCCUUGCUUGCAUUUAGCAUUGUCAUCCUGUAUUCUUGUAUGGCUGCUCCAUCUUUCUAAGGACCAAGUCUGAGAGCAAAGGGAGAGGCAUGGCAUGGAAUGGAAGAAGACUAAAAAAACUUUUCUUGUGACUGAAUAGAAACUGACAAUAAAAAUGCUGAAGUCCAGGGACUUCCCUGGUGGUCCAGUGGGUAAGACUCUGCGCUCCCAAUGCAGGGGGCCCGGGUUCAAUCCCUGGUCGGGGAACUAGAUCCCGCAUGCAUGCUGCAACGCAACUAAGAGUCCGCAUGCCGCAACUAAGAAGUCUGCAUGCCAAAACUAAAAAUCCCGCGUGCCGCAACUAAGACCCGGAG